rnacentral:rRNA from 1 species
GACGAACGCUGGCGGCGUGCUUAACACAUGCAAGUCGAACGAAGAGCGAUGGAAGCUUGCUUCUAUCAAUCUUAGUGGCGAACGGGUGAGUAACGCGUAAUCAACCUGCCCUUCAGAGGGGGACAACAGUUGGAAACGACUUCUAAUACCGCAUACGAUCUAAUCUCGGCAUCGAGGAUAGAUGAAAGGUGGCCUCUACAUGUAAGCUAUCACUGAAGGAGGGGAUUGCGUCUGAUUAGCUAGUUGGAGGGGUAACGGCCCACCAAGGCGAUGAUCAGUAGCCGGUCUGAGAGGAUGAACGGCCACAUUGGGACUGAGACACGGCCCAGACUCCUACGGGAGGCAGCAGUGGGGAAUCUUCCGCAAUGGACGAAAGGCUGACGGAGCAACGCCGCGUGAGUGAUGACGGCCUUCGGGUUGUAAAGCUCUGUUAAUCGGGACGAAAGGCCUUCUUGCGAAUAGUGAGAAGGAUUGACGGUACCGGAAUAGAAAGCCACGGCUAACUACGUG